rnacentral:rRNA from 1 species
AUGGACGCAAGUCUGAUGGAGCAACGCCGCGUGAGUGAAGAAGGUUUUCGGAUCGUAAAGCUCUGUUGUUGGUGAAGAAGGAUAGAGGUAGUAACUGGCCUUUAUUUGACGGUAAUCAACCAGAAAGUCACGGCUAACUACGUGCCAGCAGCCGCGGUAAUACGUAGGUGGCAAGCGUUGUCCGGAUUUAUUGGGCGUAAAGCGAGCGCAGGCGGAAAAAUAAGUCUAAUGUGAAAGCCCUCGGCUUAACCGAGGAAUUGCAUCGGAAACUGUUUUUCUUGAGUGCAGAAGAGGAGAGUGGAACUCCAUGUGUAGCGGUGGAAUGCGUAGAUAUAUGGAAGAACACCAGUGGCGAAGGCGGCUCUCUGGUCUGCAACUGACGCUGAGGCUCGAAAGCAUGGGUAGCGAACAGGAUUAGAUACCCUGGUAGUCCAUGCCGUAAACGAUGAGUGCUAAGUGUUGGGAGGUUUCCGCCUCUCAGUGCUGCAGCUAACGCAUUAAGCACUCCGCCUGGGGAGUACGACCGCAAGGUUGAAACUCAAAGGAAUUGACGGGGGCCCGCACAAGCGGUGGAACAUGUGGUUUAAUUCGAAGCAACGCGAAGAACCUUACCAGGUCUUGA